rnacentral:rRNA from 1 species
GACGAACGCUGGCGGCGUGCUUAACACAUGCAAGUCGAACGGAAAGGCCCUGCUUUUGUGGGGUGCUCGAGUGGCGAACGGGUGAGUAACACGUGAGUAACCUGCCCUUGACUUUGGGAUAACUUCAGGAAACUGGGGCUAAUACCGGAUAGGAGCUCCUGCUGCAUGGUGGGGGUUGGAAAGUUUCGGCGGUUGGGGAUGGACUCGCGGCUUAUCAGCUUGUUGGUGGGGUAGUGGCUUACCAAGGCUUUGACGGGUAGCCGGCCUGAGAGGGUGACCGGCCACAUUGGGACUGAGAUACGGCCCAGACUCCUACGGGAGGCAGCAGUGGGGAAUAUUGCACAAUGGGCGGAAGCCUGAUGCAGCAACGCCGCGUGCGGGAUGACGGCCUUCGGGUUGUAAACCGCUUUCGCCUGUGACGAAGCGUGAGUGACGGUAAUGGGUAAAAGAAGCACCGGCUAACUACGUGCCAGCAGCCGCGGUGAUACGUAGGGUGCGAGCGUUGUCCGGAUUUAUUGGGCGUAAAGGGCUCGUAGGUGGUUGAUCGCGUCGGAAGUGUAAUCUUGGGGCUUAACCCUGAGCGUGCUUUCGAUACGGGUUGACUUGAGGAAGGUAGGGGAGAAUGGAAUUCCUGGUGGAGCGGUGGAAUGCGCAGAUAUCAGGAGGAACACCAGUGGCGAAGGCGGUUCUCUGGGCCUUUCCUGGCGCUGAGGAGCGAAAGCGUGGGGAGCGAACAGGCUUAGAUACCCUGGUAGUCCACGCUGUAAACGGUGGGUACUAGGUGUGGGGUCCAUUCCACGGGUUCCGUGCCGUAGCUAACGCUUUAAGUACCCCGCCUGGGGAGUACGGCCGCAAGGCUAAAACUCAAAGGAAUUGACGGGGCCCCGCACAAGCGGCGGAGCAUGCGGAUUAAUUCGAUGCAACGCGUAGAACCUUACCUGGGUUUGACAUGGAUCGGGAGCGCUCAGAGAUGGGUGUGCCUCUUUUGGGGUCGGUUCACAGGUGGUGCAUGGCUGUCGUCAGCUCGUGUCGUGAGAUGUUGGGUUAAGUCCCGCAACGAGCGCAACCCUUGUUCACUGUUGCCAGCACGUUAUGGUGGGGACUCAGUGGAGACCGCCGGGGUCAACUCGGAGGAAGGUGGGGAUGACGUCAAGUCAUCAUGCCCCUUAUGUCCAGGGCUUCACGCAUGCUACAAUGGCUGGUACAGAGAGUGGCGAGCCUGUGAGGGUGAGCGAAUCUCGGAAAGCCGGUCUCAGUUCGGAUUGGGGUCUGCAACUCGACCUCAUGAAGUCGGAGUCGCUAGUAAUCGCAGAUCAGCAACGCUGCGGUGAAUACGUUCCCGGG